GUGGAUGUCCUUUCUGUUUGUUAGUUUUCCUUCUAACAGAGAGGACCCUCAGCUGCAGGUCUGUUGGAAUACCCUGCCUUGUGAGGUGUCAGUGUGCCCCUGCUGGGGGGUGCCUCCCAGUUAGGCUGCCUGGGGGUCAGGGGUCAGGGACCCACUUGAGGAGGCAGUCUGCUGGUUCUCAGAUCUCCAGCUGCAUGCUGGGAGAACCAGUGCUCUCUUCAAAGCUGUCAGACAGGGACAUUUAAGUCUGCAGAGGUUACUGCUGUCUUUUUGUCUGUGCCCCGCCCCCAGAGGUGGAGCCUACAGAGGCAGGCAGGACUCCUUGAGCUGUGGUGGGCUCCACCCAGUUCGAGCUUCCAGGCUGCUUUGUUUACCUAAUCAAGCCUGGGCAAUGGCAGGCGCCCCUCCCCCAGCCUCGCUGCCGCCUUGCAGUUUGAUCUCAGACUGCUGUGCUAGCAAUCAGCGCGACUCUGUGGGCGUAGGACCCUCCAAGCCAGGUGCCGGAUAUAAUCUCGUCGUGCGCCGUUUUUUAAGCCCGUCGUAAAAGCGCAGUAUUCGGGUGGGAGUGACCCGAUUUUCCAGGUGCCGUCCGUCACCCCUUUCUUUGACUCAAAAAGGGAACUGGCUGACCCCUUGCGCUUCCCAAGUGAGGCAAUGCCUCGCCCUGCUUAGGCUCGCGCACGGUGCAGGCACCCACUGACCUGCGCCAACUGUCUGGCACUCCCUAGUGAGAUGAACCUGGUACCUCAGAUGGAAAUGCAGAAAUCACCUGUCUUCUGCGUCGCUCACGCUGGGAGCCGUAGACCGGAGCUGUUCCUAUUCGGCCAUCUUGGCUCCUCCACCCGGAUGAUUUUUCUUACUUUCUAUAGUCCUCAUUCUAUAACUUUUGAUCCAAAUUAUUCCAGAGAUUGGAUUAAAAACAAAUGGAUGUGGCAUACAGGGAGCAUCUCAAAUCAUUCAUUCUCACCAGCAGGUCUCAUGUGCUCCGAAACCAACUUGAAGCACUCUCCUUCUUCCUCUAGCAUGGUGACUGGAUUCCAAGGGAAACUGUAUCAAGAAAAACAGCACCAAAAAAAGUCAUGUCACCUUUCCUGACCAGUGAUGCAGCUUCCAUUCUACCACAUUCCAUUCAUCAAGUUCUUUAGAUCAAGAGGAACUACUUGAAGAGCAGCACUCAACAAAUCUGCACAUCGACCUGGUUUAAAUGCUAAGAUCCUGCCCUUGUAGAUUCGAUGCCAUAAUGAUGAGACUUUCACAAGGUCAAGGGAGAAGUGUGAAAGAGGACUAAUACGUUCCCCAUCAAGCCUCCAGAUGAGAACCCUGUCCUGACCAACAUUUUGAUUGCAGCUUUGCAGAGGACCGAGAUAAACCAUAACUAGACUCCUCACCCAUAGACACUGUGAGAUAAUAAAUGUGUGGUGUUUUAUACUGCUAUAUUUGUAUGCAACUCUGAAAAUUAAUACGUGCUUAACUUUCAUUUAAACUAUGAAAUAUAUUUGAUAAAAAAUAAUAUAUUCAUGUUUUGACAGAAUAAAUAUCUGCAAAAUAACAUAAGUAUUUUUUAUUUUAAUAAAUAGAGUUUUCAUUUCUGGAAUUUAUGUUUUAUUCUGUUUUGAAUAUGUUUGGUCACUUUUAUCACCUAUUGUGUGUGCUCAUAUUUUUAAUCCCUCCAUUUAUUUAUUUAAGAGGUACUUGUUUUAAACUGUGUCUAUUAAAUUCAAUAUUUCACGUUAUU
rnacentral:lncRNA from 1 species